UUAGACAAAAUUAUUACAUCUCUAUUGUAGAGAUUUGGUACAUAGAUUUUAGGAAGAAAAAAGAAGAAAGGAUUCUUCUCAGGAUCUCUAGCAUAGAGAUCAAGAUCCUCCUACAUCUUUUUGUUAUCUAAGAGUAUCUUUGAAGAAAAGAAGAUUUUUAACCAUUAAGAUACGAUCUUUGAAAAAGAGCUAGUACUCCGGUGAGAUCAAAAUACUUCUGAUUAGAUCAGAGUCUCGUGUGGAUAUCCAUAG
rnacentral:lncRNA from 1 species